CGACGCAGGAAAGGUGUGGUGAGGUCGCACAGCCGAAUACUUCAUUCAGCGUUGAAGCAAAUAUGUCUUGUGAAUGACAUUUGUUCCUGUAAGAAGAGGACGCAGGUAUGGUGUGGUGAAGUCGCAGAGGCGCUGAAGCAAAUAUGAGAACGUCUUAACUGCCCCUUCCUAGGCCGAUGCGACUGAUACAAACCUCCACAACCUUCUGCGAAUAUUUUGGAACUGGAGAGAUGCAAACACACACAAUGUAUAUGGUGAAAAAUUGUGAAUGCUGUUUUUGUCAUUUCCAACGUGUUUUAGGACUACAUAUAUUUUUGUAUAUAUUGAAAUUGAGAACAAAGAUGAAUAGCGUACUUUUUAAAAACUUUAAAGUAGUUAUUGAUCAAAUUAUACCUUGGGUCAAACUUGGAUGUAUCCAAUUCUAUUUUAAAGCAUUUUAGUUUCUCUCUAAUUGUCUUAUAUAAUGGUGUAUCUAUUAAAGUGCUUCAAAUGACACUAUGUAAUAUUCAGUGUUUGUAAAUAUCAAAUUUCAACCUUGAAAGUAAAAAUGCAGUUUUUCUAAAAUUGUUUUUUAAUUGUUUAUCUAAUCCGUCAACUUCCACAAUAUUUGUUAUUAUUUACCUUGGAGAAGCCAAUUUUGUAUUUUUUCAUUUGAAUUUAUUUUCUGACACAUGUGUACAACAGUUGUGACCGAAUAAAUGAGCUAUCCAUUGGA